AUGGCCGCUGAGCCUGCGCGUCCAGAGCCUGUGCUCCACAACGGGAGAGGCCACAACAGUGAGAGGCCCGCAUACCGCAAAAAAAAAAAAAAAAAAAAGUCAACUAAAAUUUCUCAAAUGCCAGCUCAUCCAAGCUUAUCAGAUGAGUAGACUGUGUUACCGACUUGUCUCGUCAAUCCAUUACCGUAUACCCAGCAGGACUUUAACUCCAUCAGGGACUCCCAGUGCAGCAGCUGGUAUUUGUUGAGUCUUACAAACAAAAACUUAAGCAAAGCACAUGGCCACCUCACAGGAGAUUGUGCUGCUUUCCAGCCGCUACUGGCUGACGGGCGAGGCCCUCCAGCGCCUGCAUGGCCCCCAUGGCUCAUGCUACGUGGGCGUCGCAGUUUUUCAUUUCUGUGUUUGUUCUGCCUGUGGUGUUUCUCCUGGAGUUUUUUCCCCAUCUGCUCCGUGUCUGUCCUUUAUCAUGAUGACUGGGAGUGGCCCCAGCAAGCACCUACCUCCCCGGCCUAACUCCAGCCAACCCUGCAACUUGCUCAUGCUUUUGCCCUCCAGGCUCUGAGAAGACUUUCAAAAGGGAUUCAGGGUGGGGAAGCCACAGGGGAAACUCUCUCCCCUCAGCAAGCGGAUUUCUUUGGCCAGGCCUGUCCUUAACCUGCCCAGUCACGUACAGGCCAGGUUCCUGGCACAGAGGCCCAACAGGGAGGAAACAGCUGCCCUGAUACCGACCCUCAUUCCAGAGGUUUUAGAAAUGUCUUUUGAGGAAUUUGGCCCUGGAAGCCCUGGAGAAGGUGUUGCCCGUUAACAAACACUGUCUUUGAAGACAGACGCCUCCUCCAAAGGUCUGCAUCCAGGAGUGCAGGUGAGGAAGCCAGAGCCUGUGGCUUUUGAAGCUGCCUGUCUUCUCUGCGGUGCUGCCAGGGUCGGAGCCAACACCUAGGAAGAAGCAGGCAGCCCCACGGCCUGCCCCGGCCCGCCUGCCUGUCUGACGAGGCCCGCGGGACACUAACCGCCCCCAGUAGGAACUGCAGUUUGAUGGUCUCUGUCUCCUUACAUGCCUUUAGUCUGACUUUCAGGAGUGUCCACUGGGCUUACGUUUUGGUUUGUGUUUUUUUUUUUGUUUUUGUUUUUUGCCAUGCUGCAAGGCAUACGGGAUCUUAGUUCCCCAACCAGGUAUCGAAGCCGUGUCCCUGCGGGGGAAGCGCGGAAUCUUAACUACUGGACCGCCAGGGAAGUCCCUGGUUUUUGUUCUUAAAAAAUUAUUUCCACAAGUAUUUUUAAAGUAAAAAAUCUAUCAUUCUUACAAGUGUUAAUAGUGAUUUAUAAACUGAAUUUUGAUAAACCUUGAGGAAACUGUUCAUCUUUUAGAUGAUCGCAGGACGGGCAGGAGUGGAAGAGCCCAGCACUGCUCCAACGGCCCAUCGCACGAAGCAGGCCGCACCUAGAUGUUCUACAGACACCUUCUCAUGGCUUGCAGGAUCUCAGUUCCCAGACCAGGGAUCGAACCUGUGCCCCCUGCAGUGGAAGCACAGAGUCCUAACCACUGGACCCCCAGGGAAGUCCCACUGGACAUUAACAUUCAAGUGGGACAGGUGGUGGAUGUGCAUUGAAGUGCUCUGGGGACGUGACCUGUAAGUAGUGAGGGGGGCAGGGGGGGCUAGAGGGUAGCUGAGCCAUGACACAGUCGUCAGAGGAACCAGCCAAUUCCCCGAGGCACUCUGACGUGGAGACGGCCCUUCAGAUACCCCAACUGGGGCAAGGCGGCUGGGCCUCUUGUACCCCUCACUGGCUGCGUGUGGUAUAUUACCUUGGGUGAGGCAGCUCCCUUUUAAGGGCA